rnacentral:lncRNA from 1 species
GGACUUCCGGGUUAGCGCCAUCGGCGAAUGGCGGAGUUCCUCCGACCGGAGGAACUGGCUCCGUGGAAACUGGGUCUUCCCGCCGCGGCGAAGGUGGGGACCCGCUAGAAAUCCCAGGCGGAGGAAGCCUGGGAACGUGGGGUUCGGCAGGGCACCAGGAGCGCCUCCCCUACUCACAGGGAACCCCAUUUCGGGGUUCCGGAGUGAAGUGGGGUGAGCGGUGCGGUGCUGCGAACUGAUUGCUACUUUCACGGAGUGAAGCCGCACAGCCAUUGCCGGAGAGCGCUGACUUUUUCCUGUGGACAAUUGCAUUUAAAACAAGUACCCAUGAGUAGAAACGGAAAAUUGGAUUAAGAAAUACCCUAAUUUGGCACUGAAGCGGGAAGGUUCAAACAGGAAGUCCGCCUUCCGCUUUUUGUACAUAGGCUGAAGCAAAAACCUUUUAAGCUAAAGUCUGGAAAGUCGUUAAAAAAGUCUAAAUUUCCUUCAUUUAUAACCACUAAAACCCCCUUGGAAGCAGGAGAAAAGGGGGGGGGAUCUUUGUUUAAGCCUGCAGGAGAGGGAGUGAAGAAAGAUAAGUUUCCACCGUCUCAAACCUGGGAACGGGGGGUCAGAGACAGAAAUUGUUGGAGAGGUUCACUGACUGUGAAUGGAAUACUUUGACAGAUAGCUAAAGAAGAGAAAUAAACUGAUUCCAAUGUUGCCUUUUGCAUUCUAAAGAAACAAAAUAUCUGAAAUAUGAAAGUAAUUUUCCUUUGUUGGACUUGCCUUAAAAAGAUGGAUACAAAUAGAAAUUGUCUCCUCUAGAGGGAGCUUGUUAAAUUGUUGCUGCAGUCUACUUGAGGACUCUACAGCUGUGAGAUUAAGAUCGUGGGACCAGUCCUUUGACCUCGAAUAAAAAUGAGCUGGGAGGAAGUUUUGGUGCUUGCUUUAUGCAAGACAAGUGCUUUGUUGGAACAGAUGCAUGAGAAGAUGGAUCUGAUGAAUGAGAAAACGGAUUUGAUGACUGUUGUGGUCAAUAACUGUGGACAAACAGGGAAUAUUGAUACAGAAACCAUUCAGGGACCAACUCAGGAACCUGUAUUGAUUGGGCAAGUGCAGAAGAUAAUGGAGGAGGUUGCGGUUGCACCUCAAAUAAUACAAAUGGAGAGACCCGAGGCCCUGCAGGAGCAUAAGCCGCUGUUUUUGAAGAUUGAAGUUGGAGUGGGCCAGGGGGAGUCUGGAGCUGAGGAGGUUCUUAACUUCGGAGGGACUUUGAAAUAUGCUCUUAAAUAUUUUUUGGAUUACAUUGAUGACUGUGGGGAGUGGGACUGUGGGGAAUGGGCUGGUUUGAUGAAGGGAGAUGGAGAUAAUCUUGGGCUGGAACCUCCCAGAGACCUACUCCUCAAUGAGAAAGGAAAGAAAUUAAGAAAGAGACCAACAAAGACAAGGAAAAGUGCAGGUAUAAACAAGAAGAAGAAGAUCUGCAGAAGGGACAUGGAAGAGACUUAAGAGCCUCGGACAUAAGAUUACCAGGUUGAUGGACUAGAUGGAAUGGACAGUAAGGACUGACAUGACCCGAGACCAGGAAGAAGAGACGCUGGAUGAAGAUUGGAAGAAAAUUUAU